CCUUGCCCCGCAACUGAUGGCCGGGCUUCCAGCAAGGGAAACCCGAGGUCACAUGACUACUCCUUAGGGGGGCCGCCAUCUUGGCACUAGUGGUUGCCAUCUAGAGAGCUUUAGAAAGGCAGAGGUCGGAAACGUUGAGGCAGUUUCUGGAAUCUUUUUUGCCGACCGGGAGAGAAUCAGUAGAUGGGAUGUUGCUGGAAAUGGAGGUUCUGGAUGGCGCUCUCCAGUAAGCUCACUUUUCCCAUCCAGGUUACUGGUACCAACAUCCACCAGUUCUCCCAAACGAAAAAGCAUGGAGGAAUCCUCCAGAUCCACUAGUCCUUUCUGAUCUGUCUUCUUUGCACAGGCAUACUUUACAAGCCCUCUGUUUUUGCCCCAGUUUUAGCCUGUUUCUUGGACUGUUUGCUACAGCCUUGUAGUGGUACCGUGUUUUUAUUUAAAAAUUUAAAACCCUCCAACUUCCAAAUUGACUCUGCAUUUAUCACUUCAUAACAUGAAGUGUUAUGUUAAUAAAUAUUGUGAAGUGAAAUGAGUACUGGAGAGAAAUGCUCAUUGUCAUUAGAGGCUGAACCACAAGUGGGGACUUGGUCACCAUCACACAAAGAUUUGGGGCACUGUGUAUUCUGUCCUCUGCUUUGGACCAUGAGCCCAUCCAGCGAUGACUGCAUGGCAGCCCUGGAGUGCAGAGUCCAGCAUGGCACCCAUGGUGAGGGCAACUGAUUCCUCCCAAAUAGGGAGACUCAGCCCCCAGCUUCCAGCCAGAACCCCUGUCUUCCCUCUGGAGACCAUCUUUGCAGAGGGGUGUGCAGAGCAGCAAUUGAGAAGCUUCUUACCCAGCCCCCACUGCUGUGGAUCCAGUCAGCCAGCCGUGUCUCCAGGUAGGCCACCAUCCACUCUUGCACUUGUCCCACAAGUGGCUCCAUCUCCUUGUUGACACUCUCAGCACAUAGCGCGGCUCCAAAGACAAAGAAGGCCACAAGGCGGCCCCAGUUGGGGCCCCCUUGGAAGAGUUCAUCAGAGACCUGGGUGAAGCGUUGCUGGGCUGAGCCAGGGGUCACAUGCAACUGGGCUGCCAAAUCAGAGAAGGUGCGCCGGAAGCGGGUCUCAAACUCAUCUCCAGCUGCCCGCAUGGCUUGAUGCAGUGGGUCAGCUGCUGGGCCCUCCCCAGGGCCUGCUCCACAAACAUAACCCUUCUGCCUCAGCUUAUAGCCUACAAAGUCUGCCACUAGAGCCCGUGUGUCUGGGGCUGAGGCUGGGGUCGCCAUCCGGGCAGCUGUAAGAGUCAAGGAUGAAAGACUGGCAUGAUUAUAUGGUCAGAUAGCCAGAAGGGGCACUUCAGGCUUGGCCAACCCAGUGAGGUGGGAGGAAAUGCUCAGAGACCACUGGGCAGGGAGUGGCAAGAAUGCGGGAAUUAAGUCAAGGUGAGAGGCCAGAGCAUGAGGGGCUGGCCAUUAAUUUGUAAUAUGUCAAAUUAAAUGUAAAACAAGUAUA